UACAGAGGUCUCAAGCGUUGUUCGGAUUCAUUGGGCGUAAAGGGUGCGUAGGCGGCGCGGUAAGUCGGGUGUGAAAUCUCGGAGCUUAACUCCGAAACUGCAUUCGAUACUGCCGUGCUUGAGGACUGGAGAGGAGACUGGAAUUCUCGGUGUAGCGGUGAAAUGCGUAGAUAUCGAGAGGAACACCUGCGGCGAAGGCGGGUAGCUGGGCCGACACUGACGCUGAUGCGCGAAAGCCAGGGGAGCGAACGGG
rnacentral:rRNA from 1 species